rnacentral:rRNA from 1 species
CAGGAUGAACGCUGGCGGCGUGCCUAAUACAUGCAAGUCGAACGAGGGUGCUUGCACCCUAGUGGCGGACGGGUGAGUAACACGUAGGUAACCUGCCUUUAGUUUGGGAGUACCCAGAGGAAACUUUGGCUAAUACCGGAUAUGAAUUCGAGAGGCAUCUCUUGAAUUUGAAAGGAGCGUUUGCUCCGCUUUAAGAUGGACCUGCGGCGCAUUAGCUAGUUGGUGAGAUAACAGCCCACCAAGGCGAGGAUGCGUAUCCGAUCUGAGAGGAUGACCGGACACAUUGGAACUGAGACACGGUCCAAACUCCUACGGGAGGCAGCAGUAAGGAGUUUUCGGCAAUGGGGGAAACCCUGACCGAGCAACGCCGCGUGAGUGAAUGACGGCCCUAUGGGUUGUAAAGCUCUGUUGUAAGAGACGAAUGACGAGGUCAGGAAAUGGGCUUCGUUUGACGGUAUCUUACCAGAAAGCCACGGCUAACUACGUGCCAGCCGCGGC